GUGGAGGUCAAGCAAGUCAAUAUAGGUAGAGUACUCAGCGGAAUUAUGCGAGGAAUGCGAUAGCAAACAAUGGUUCAGGAAAUGUGUUCUUUUUCUGCAAAAUGAAAGCUGAUUAUUGUCAUUACAUGAGUCACUUUAGCAUCAUGAAACUGCUGAUUGAUAAAUUCAUAAACAAACCAAAAAACAAGCCACGCCAAAAAAGCAAUUUAAUGGUGCUCUCUUCACUCUGGGGUGAAUAAAAAAACGGAUCACCUCUAAUGUGUACACAUCAGACACCUUGCGAAACAAUAAAGUCAAUUUAGAGCUCGCCGCACAGCUGUGGGGGCCGUGCACCAAUAGUGACAGUUGCCACUGCAUUUAGAAAUUGAAUGCAUCCAUGCAGACAAGGAUGACUCUUAAUAUUUUCGGCUACCACUUCAAAUGCCUCCACCAAGUCUUACAAUGCUGCAUGCAGCCAGAUUUUAUGAAUGAAAAGCUCAUCGUAUGUCGUAUUAAAAAAAAUAACAGCAUAUUAUGAUUUAUCUUUCAGUUCCGGUAACAUGCAACGUACAAGGAAUUCACAAAUGGGUGGUAUACCAAAGAACUGGCCAUUAUUUCUGCGUGAUGCUGUGCAAGCAUGUGGCACUACCUAACAAGGGGCGCCCACAAAACAAAGCCUACGCCUAGCCACAGCCGCUCCCUUGUGCAGACUCCGCAAGCCAAGACGCCGUGAAGGCACAUGCAGGCAGUCAGCACACCUCGAACAACCAUCUUGACAGCGGGUUUGUCCCCCAAGUCGCCAAGGAAGCAGUUCAGGGAAUGCGACAGGCAAUGGAAACAGCCACUUCUCCAUGUAAACGAUACUCUUUCUCUCAGAUGACUCCUACAUCUCGCCACGCCAGCUCACGUGGGCAGACUCCACCAACAAAUAUACUGUGGAGGCACGUGCAGGUCAGAGGCAAGAAGUAGUGGCACUGCUGUCGACAUUCACCCAAUUUCUUUUUCUUACGCUGAGGCAGCCAGCACGCCUCGAACAGCCACCUUGACUGCGGGUGUGUCAGCAGAUUCCUUGAUA